rnacentral:rRNA from 1 species
GAGUUUGAUCAUGGCUCAGAUUGAACGCUGGCGGCAGGCCUAACACAUGCAAGUCGAGCGGCAGCGGAAAGUAGCUUGCUACUUUGCCGGCGAGCGGCGGACGGGUGAGUAAUGUCUGGGAAACUGCCUGAUGGAGGGGGAUAACUACUGGAAACGGUAGCUAAUACCGCAUAACGUCGCAAGACCAAAGAGGGGGACCUUCGGGCCUCUUGCCAUCAGAUGUGCCCAGAUGGGAUUAGCUAGUAGGUGGGGUAACGGCUCACCUAGGCGACGAUCCCUAGCUGGUCUGAGAGGAUGACCAGCCACACUGGAACUGAGACACGGUCCAGACUCCUACGGGAGGCAGCAGUGGGGAAUAUUGCACAAUGGGCGCAAGCCUGAUGCAGCCAUGCCGCGCGUAUGAAGAAGGCCUUCGGGUUGUAAAGUACUUUCAGCGGGGAGGAAGGUGCUGAGGUUAAUAACCUCAGCAAUUGACGUUACCCGCAGAAGAAGCACCGGCUAACUCCGUGCCAGCAGCCGCGGUAAUAC